rnacentral:rRNA from 1 species
UGACGUUGCGGCGGACGGCUGAGUAACACGUGGGUAACCUACCUAUAAGACUGGGAUAACUUCGGGAAACCGGAGCUAAUACCGGAUAACAUUUGGAACCGCAUGGUUCUAAAGUGAAAGAUGGUUUUGCUAUCACUUAUAGAUGGACCCGCGCCGUAUUAGCUAGUUGGUAAGGUAACGGCUUACCAAGGCGACGAUACGUAGCCGACCUGAGAGGGUGAUCGGCCACACUGGAACUGAGACACGGUCCAGACUCCUACGGGAGGCAGCAGUAGGGAAUCUUCCGCAAUGGGCGAAAGCCUGACGGAGCAACGCCGCGUGAGUGAUGAAGGGUUUCGGCUCGUAAAACUCUGUUAUUAGGGAAGAACAAAUGUGUAAGUAACUGUGCACGUCUUGACGGUACCUAAUCAGAAAGCCACGGCUAACUACGUGCCAGCAGCCGCGGUAAUACGUAGGUGGCAAGCGUUAUCCGGAAUUAUUGGGCGUAAAGCGCGCGUAGGCGGUUUCUUAAGUCUGAUGUGAAAGCCCACGGCUCAACCGUGGAGGGUCAUUGGAAACUGGGAAACUUGAGUGCAGAAGAGGAAAGUGGAAUUCCAUGUGUAGCGGUGAAAUGCGCAGAGAUAUGGAGGAACACCAGUGGCGAAGGCGACUUUCUGGUCUGUAACUGACGCUGAUGUGCGAAAGCGUGGGGAUCAAACAGGAUUAGAUACCCUGGUAGUCCACGCCGUAAACGAUGAGUGCUAAGUGUUAGGGGGUUUCCGCCCCUUAGUGCUGCAGCUAACGCAUUAAGCACUCCGCCUGGG